GCCACGCCCCCCUGUUCACGUGCCCAUUGCACAGGUGAAGCUACUGCGGCACAGAGAGGGCGAGUGACUUCUUCCUUGGAGGGUGCACAGCAGUAAAAGGUCGGAGCUGGAAAUGGAACCCUCGGCCGCCCAGAGCCUCUGUCUCCUUGACCUGUGACCUCUGGCCUCCGAAGGAAAA